AAUUAUCGAGGAUAGAACAGGCAGCUAUCACUCCUACUUAUGUAGGUCUUAAAAGAGAUGUGGACGUGCCAAUCCACCGAUAAUA
rnacentral:ncRNA from 1 species